CACGUAGGGGGCAAGCGUUGUCCGGAUUUAUUGGGCGUAAAGAGCUCGUAGGCGGUUCGGUAAGUCGGGUGUGAAACCUCCAGGCUCAACCUGGAGAUGCCACCUGAUACUGCUGUGACUCGAGUCCGGUAGGGGAGCGUGGAAUUCCUGGUGUAGCGGUGAAAUGCGCAGAUAUCAGGAGGAACACCGGUGGCGAAGGCGGUUCUCUGGGCAUGUCCUGACGCUGAGGAGCGAAAGUGUGGGGAGCGAACAGG
rnacentral:rRNA from 1 species